GGAAAAAAUAUAUUAAUAUUAAUAUUUUUUUUGUAGUUUGCCCUCUGUAUUAUUUGUUGUUGUUGGGUGAUUAAGGACCUCGUUUAUGAUAUAUUAAGGGAUGCAGAAUGGGAAAAUUAUUCAGAUGACGACUUUGAAGAAUGGAUAGGGGAUGACGAAUGGGACGAUAUGUGUGAUUGGGAUUGGGACCCAUAUAUAAGAGACGAUGACGGCGAUUUCUAUGAUUGGGGUCUGGUGUGGCUGUUCGAGCCGGAACCUGUACCUGUGUAUGAAAAUUGGGACGAUGAACCAUACGUUCCAAUAAUGGUUCCAGAGAUGUCGGAUUGGGACGCAUAUUUAAGAGGCGACGACGAAGCUGAUUGGGGUCUGGUGCAGCUUU